rnacentral:rRNA from 1 species
AUUGAACGCUGGCGGCGUGCUUUACACAUGCAAGUCGAGCGAGGCCGGGUAGCAAUACCCGAGUCGAGCGGCGCACGGGUGAGUAACGCGUGGAUAACCUGCCUGGGGGUGGGGGAUAACCCGGGGAAACUCGGGCUAAUACCGCAUGACACCGAGAGGUCAAAGGGGGCCGCAAGGCUCUCGCCUGCAGAGGGGUCCGCGUCCGAUUAGCUAGUUGGUAGGGUAAUGGCCUACCAAGGCGACGAUCGGUAGCCGGCCUGAGAGGGUGAUCGGCCACACUGGAACUGAGACACGGUCCAGACUCCUACGGGAGGCAGCAGUGGGGAAUUUUGCGCAAUGGGCGAAAGCCUGACUCAGCAACGCCGCGUGGAGGAUGAAGGUCUUCGGAUUGUAAACUCCUGUCAGUGGGGAAAAAGGGGAACGUGCUCAUACCACGUUUCAUUGAUUGUACCCGCAGAGGAAGCCCCGGCUAACUCUGUGCCAGCCGCCGCAGUAAAAC